rnacentral:tRNA from 1 species
UCCAUUAGCUGGCGUAAAAUAUCCGCGAACAUCACCGCAUCCGUCACCUCCAGUACUACGGAGUGCGCCAGCCCGC